CUCCAACUCCCGGCAGGCCGUGCUGCCGGCGCGGCGUGUGACGCAACGGCUAUCGCGGCACAUGAGUGGCUGUCAGCCCGAGACUCCAACUCCCGGCAGGCCCUGCUGCUGGCGCGGCGUGUGACGCAACGGGCGACGCGGCCCGGCAUUUUUCUCUAAAUCGGCAGUAAAUACAGCUGAGUAAAAUUAGCUUGGUUUUCUUCCUUCUUUUGUAACUGAACUGUUUUUAUUAAAAAUCCUAUUUGAAUAUGUAGAAAAAGUGGGGAUGUCCUGUAAUAUAUCGUAGCUUUUCUUGUUUACAGGGUACUGAGAAAAUACGUCUCCCUUAGAGUCCCGCGGAAAGGUUCUCAGUGCGCUCUCUAUCAAGUGCUAUGAGUCUUGAUAAAUUGGAGAAGAGCCCAAGAGAAAUUUUUCAUCCCUUGAUAUAAAAGGAUUUAUUGGUUCUGGAAGAACAAGAGGGAAGUACAAGCCUAACUACUUCUAGCUCACAGGCCCGUCCGGUGAACCCAGGGAUCGGUGAAUUUUAACUUUGGAGUCCCCUAUGCUAAGGAUGCUCAGCUUACAGGUGAUGAAAUGUUCAGUAAUGUAUUUGCUGCAGCUCUGCUUACCCAAGCUUUGGGUUCCUUCUGUCCCACUGGGAGUUGCCCAGUUUGGUUGCAUCUGGUGAAAUUCACCCUGAGACCUUACAGAACUAGCUCCAACUACGUGAGAGCCAUUUGCAGUUCUCUCCAGACACCUGGAGAAUGGGCGACGUUUCUGAGGAUCCGGCGAGCGUGCUUCUGUCAAAACUCAGUCUGUGAAAUUCCUGGGGAAAACCCUUCUGUGUCCUGAAGGGUUCAAACUCUGGUGAGGAUCCAGUUAUCAGGGGCUCACCUGGAUGGUUCCAGCUCCCAAAGGGAAAGACUCUCGUAUCCUUGUCGUCGGGCUCGGUGCUGUCCAAGAAGAUACGGGGACUAAAAAAAUCAUAAGAAGCAAAAUAUGACUGCAGGGAAAAGAAGCUGGAGAGAACAGAAGACUCAUCACGGCGGGACAGCGUGAGGACUGAAAGUGUAAGAAGAUGUGGAGGGAAACAGAGAAUCUGACAGGAGCAUCGGAGGGACGAGUGCAGGAAUUUUGCUUUUUGCUUGGAUGUAAACUCAGGAGUUGAGAGGAAUUUGGGAGUGAGAAGGGACAUCUCAGAAGGAGAAGAAGAAAAAGAGGUUGUUGUUGUUGUUACAGUCCUGGCAAAAUCUUUUGUUCUAGCUAAUAAAAGAAGUUAGUUUAAAAAACAAAAAGGAAAAAAUGUAGUGUUUUUUUUUUCCUUCACUAUGAUAUUCAUUGGUGGUAUAUGGUGUGUUGUUUCAUUUCUUGGUAUUAUUAACUCUGUGUAAAUUGUUUUUUGAGUGAAGCUGACUUUCUGGAUGGGUUGGUUUGUAUUUGAGGCAGGAUUAAUUUCAGUAGGGUUCUUUCAUAGAUUUCUGAUGGGUAUUACUGGGAUUUUGGUUUUGUUUACUGUAUGUAUGAACCUAGAGCUUUGGUAGGGCC